rnacentral:rRNA from 1 species
UGCAGUCGGACGGGAUUGAGGAGCUUGCUUCUCAUGAGAGUGGCGCACGGGUGCGUAACACGUAUGUAACCUACCUUGUUCAGGGGGAUAGCCUCUCGAAAGAGAGAUUAACACCGCAUAAAAUCAAUUUAUGGCAUCAUAGAAUGAUCAAAUAUUUAUAGGAACAAGAUGGGCAUGCGGAACAUUAGCUAGUUGGUAAGGUAACGGCUUACCAAGGCUACGAUGUUUAGGGGAUCUGAGAGGAUGACCCCCCACACUGGUACUGAGACACGGACCAGACUCCUACGGGAGGCAGCAGUAAGGAAUAUUGGUCAAUGGACGCAAGUCUGAACCAGCCAUGCCGCGUGCAGGAAGACGGCCCUACGGGUUGUAAACUGCUUUUGUACCGGAAUAAACCUUUUCACGUGUGAGAAGCUGAAUGUACGGUAAGAAUAAGGAUCGGCUAACUCCGUGCCAGCAGCCGCGGUAAUACGGAGGAUCCAAGCGUUAUCCGGAUUUAUUGGGUUUAAAGGGUGCGUAGGUGGCCUAUUAAGUCAGGGGUGAAAGACGGUAGCUUAACUAUCGCAGUGCCUUUGAUACUGAUGGGCUUGAAUACACUUGAGGUAGGCGGAAUGUGACAAGUAGCGGUGAAAUGCAUAGAUAUGUCACAGAACACCAAUUGCGAAGGCAGCUUACUAAAGUGUUAUUGACACUGAGGCACGAAAGCGUGGGGAUCAAACAGGAUUAGAUACCCUGGUAGUCCACGCCCUAAACGAUGAAUACUCGAUGUUGGCGAUAUACGGUCAGCGUCUA